UGAGGUGUAUGACUCUUCCCUUAGACAUUCUUAUUCUUCUAAUAAAUUAUAGUGCUUUGUUAACUUCGGACCCCUGACAUAUCUAUUACAUUUCAUAAAUGAAAGCUCAGGGUUUUUAUAUGCAAUACUAAGAUUUUUGCAUCUCUCAGAUCAAAAUCGCUAUUGCUGCUACUCGAUGUACUUAUUCCUGUCUAUAAUUUAUUUGGGUUAUUUCACAAAAACAAAUUUUAACAGUAGGAUUCUCAAUACAAAUUGUUUUAUUCCAGCUCGGAAUUACAAGCUAUUGAUUACACCCUACUUAGAACAGUGGAGAAAACGUUCCCAUAAUAUAUUUGAUAUAGUAAUAUCGCACUUCGUAACCCAUCUCUCUAAAGUUCGGAUGCAUACUAAUAUCACAGAAUAUUAUUUGUCAAAAACAUUUUCUUUUGUCUAUUUAAAAUCUACUAGCAUUCUAUGGCUGUGUGCGUCGAUGUUACUGCACAGAGUUACUAACCUAAUAUCACAGUUUAACACGGCCAUGUUUGAGUCGCCAUUUUUGACAGUGGUAUCAGGUACAAUAAAGCUUUAUUUUAGAAUAUUGGGCGCCAUCUCUGUUAUGUGUGCAUAUGCUCGGCAUACGAUUAGGCCAUCCGACUGUCACAGAGACUCCCAGGGCUAGGGAUCUCAACCCGCCAAUCGAAUCCAACACACUAACAUUGAAAGGGGACUUUACUACAAUUGCUCUACUCUACGAUAUACAAAAUAGGAGUCAUCAUACAGGGAUCUCGGUGGAUCGAUCCCACACUCGCCCACCCUACCUGGAUCCAGUAUUUCCAUUUCUUGCGUUUCUCUGAAUCCCCUUGAGCCACACGCUUCGAAUCACACACUUACUUCAUACCACCUUCCCCCCAAGCUAUACAAACUUAGCAACACAUAUUAGUAUCUACUGUUUACAAAAGAAUCAUUUUUAAUUUUAUUAAAAAAAAUAAGUUAGCUUUAAAUAUUUUCUUAAUUUUUUUCUCUACUAUUUUUUUUCUUACACUAAAAUUGACAAACUGUAUGGUAUAAAAAAAAACAAAUUAAGAAUAAUACCGGGCUUUCUUAAAUCUAUGGCUUUAAUUACUCGGUAGAAACCAAUAUAUUAUCCUUUGCCUUGCUUUUCCCGCGCAAUAUUCACGCGUCUAUACGAAAUUACUAGCCACCUAAAAGAGCUCUCUUAACCGGCCUAAUUGCCGCUAAAAUUCCACGGCCUAAACUAUCAGAUCGAAUCACAAGGACUCAAGAUAAUUUUACUGUAACACCUCCUAGCCUUUGAAAAUAAACGCGGUAUUUUUCCCUUACAAACUGAUUAUUACUUAAAUCCUAAGAACUAUAACCUAUCUUAUUACUAAAUCUUUAUACUGAAUAUUAUAUUUUUUUUCUCGAAAUUUAUGAUUAUUAACUCUUUUUUUCUUUUCUUUUAGUUCCCAAAAAGGAGACAGCAAAUUUUAUGGACGUCACAUAUAUAUAUAAAUAUAUCUAUCAAGGACAACACAACGUUUACGCUUCUUUCCGGAGGAAACAGAUUUUGAACGCCAGGCAAACCCUGAAAUGAAGCUGGACUUGUUGACUGGUCCUUUUACAAUGCCGGCGUUCUGGGCGGGAUCAAUAACAGGCACAGCAAAAAGCUCAAAGUUGCAGCUGGCCAGUUUACAAUUCAAAUCUCCACACCCUCAAUGUAACUUUUUUUGGCUUUUUUCUCCUGUGGACAACUUGCCACUACCUUGCGUUACCAAAAAGAAAAGGCAAUUUCCCGCCGUUGUGCUGACCAAAACCGGACAAUUUUCGGUGCUUCCAAAAAAGCUUGAUACACCACCGGAAUAUUCCUGUUGGAGCAACACACAUCACAUAUAACAACACAUUACUCAACAAACCACUGUUACAAACUACUUACACAAUAAAAAAAUCGCAACACACAAAUUAAA